UAGGUUGACAAAAACGGCCUAUUCAUAAUUGGGAAAUUGAGAUUGUUGCCUAUGUGAGACUAAGUUAAGGAAACGCACCAACCAAUCUAGAAACGGAUUCUCACACUUACUCAGAUGCAGCGAGUACCAAACCGUGAUGCUGUUUCACAAUCCACAGGAGUACAUUAGCAUGAAGAUUGCUAAAGAUCGAAAAAUGGCAACCAGAUGAAUCUAAGGGCACUGGCUUGUGGAUACAAACAGGGGAAGACUGAAUAAUCGUUCUCAUGAGCUAAAGUACAGGGGCGCUUUUCAAUCGAAGAUUGUAACAUGACGCUGGGUUUGGCCGGGUUGCAAGGUACCCUUCACCCUCACUUAGUGCUAGCAACAUACACAAGGGUUGCAAGCCAUCUAACCUCAGCAUUCAGGGCUUCAAUUUUUUUAAAAGGAGAAAAAAAAUAACAAUGGACCCGGGAAUGCAUGCCUGCAGUGUUUGCAAUGAUCGAAUUGACUUCAAAACAUUCCGAGCAUGGAGCUAAGUUUUUAGCCAUGGCAGGGCUAAGAGAUAUCUCUCUAAGAUCGCCAAUAAGGCCGAUGAACG
rnacentral:lncRNA from 1 species